AUAAUGAUACUUCCGUUCAGUCCUAAAGUCGAGCGUGAUAAGACCGUCGCAACAAAGGAGAGCGGCUCGGAGAGAUCCUCGGAGUGGUGAAAUUCCAAUGA
rfam:Eubacterium sp. CAG:180 genomic scaffold, scf44